rnacentral:rRNA from 1 species
UACAGAGGGGGCAAGCGUUGUUCGGAAUUACUGGGCGUAAAGGGCGCGUAGGCGGCCUGUUAAGUCGACCGUGAAAUCCCCGGGCUCAACCCGGGAACUGCGUCCGAUACUGCCAGGCUUGAAUCCGGGAGAGGGUUGUGGAAUUCCAGGUGUAGUGGUGAAAUGCGUAGAUAUCUGGAGGAACACCGGUGGCGAAGGCGACAACCUGGACCGGUAUUGACGCUGAGGCGCGAAAGCCAGGGGAGCAAACGGG